AUGUCAUGCUCCCUCUGCAAAGAUGGGGUGAGGGGACACAGUGGAGCCACGUGGAGCUGUCCCCAGCCUCUGCACCAGGGUGAGGGGGACAUGGUUGCUGUCAUCCCGUGCAAGCAGACUUUUUUUUUUUUUUUGCACAAACAUGUUUGUUGCUCAGCACAGCAAAGCCCAGGAGAGCGUAACCGGCUGCUCUGCAACGGCCCCCGGUGCUUCCGGCGCUCGGCAGCGGCCGCCCCUCGCCCCACGGCUGGGCUGGCUGCGGUCAGGCUGUGGGGUGGCGCUGGGUGGGACCGCGCACCGUUAUCUCCUCGGCAGCUACGGCUCUUCCUGUGGUCGGGGCCACGUGGGCAGGAUGGGGUUAAAAGAAGCCCCGCUCCCUGCAGGGGCCCAUUGCUCCCUGGCCACCAGCACCCUGUAGAGCACCCACCCGCAGCACCGGCACCCAGCAUGGGCCACCUGCGCCCCAACCCGGGCAAAGCCAGCCCUGCCGUUCGUGCCCCCGGCCAUGCUGACACAGAAGCAUCCCCACGGCCAGGCACGCGGGGUGCAGGCGGAGGAGGCCACGUCGCUGGAGGAGAGCAUCGCCGACACCGACUGAGAGACAGUGCAGUCACCCAUAAAGUAGAAAGCACUACUAAACAGCACUGCAGGGUGUAGUGUUUCCUACUUUAUGGAUGAGUGUACUGUGGGCUACGGAGAAGAGAGCACUGCCAGCCACCUGCGGGCCGGCCAUCAGCUGUGCACGGCUGGGGAGCCAAGGACAGGCUGGCGCCAGCACCACCACCGUCCCUGCUGCCACCAGGCCAGCACACCUGGGACAUGGGGCUGAGGGGCCAGGUAGGUAGCAAAGCCUGCGAUUCAUGCUUUUCUGCCCCAUCUUCAGGUCAUGGAUGGCAAAGUCCUGUGGGGAACUGGGUGGUGGUGGCCAUGUGUGGGUGGGGAGAGGCAGGGGGGCUGGCAAAUAGCUUUGCAUGGCUGCACAAUGGCAGGAUGCUGCUAAAUAAAACUCUUUCAGUGUUGACUUGUGGACUUUGU
rnacentral:lncRNA from 1 species